GACAUAGGUCGCGAACGUUAUCCGGAAUUAUUGGGCGUAAAGGGUGCGUAGACGGUGUAGUAAGUUAGCAGUGAGAAAUCGGGGCCUAACCUCGUGGAAGUUGUUAAUACUGCUAUGCUAGAGUACAGUAGAGGUUAACGGAACUCAAUGUGGAGCGGUAAAAUGCGUAGAUAUCAAGAGGAACACCUGAGGGGAAGACGGGUUGCUGGGCCGACACUGACGCUGACAGCGCGAAAGCCAGGGGAGCAAACGGG
rnacentral:rRNA from 1 species